CUCCUCCCAAAGAGUAACGGAGGAGCACGAAGGUUUGCUAAGUACGGUCGGACAUCGUACGGUUAGUGUAAUGGUAGAAGCAAGCUUAACUGCGAGACAGACACGUCGAGCAGGUACGAAAGUAGGUCAUAGUGAUCCGGUGGUUCUGAAUGGAAGGGCCAUCGCUCAACGGAUAAAAGGUACUCCGGGGAUAACAGGCUGAUACCGCCCAAGAGUUCAUAUCGACGGCGGUGUUUGGCACCUCGAUGUCGGCUCAUCACAUCCUGGGGCUGAAGUCGGUCCCAAGGGUAUGGCUGUUCGCCAUUUAAAGUGGUACGCGAGCUGGGUUUAGAACGUCGUGAGACAGUUCGGUCCCUAUCUGCCGUGGGCGUUUGAGAAUUGAGAGGGGCUGCUCCUAGUACGAGAGGACCGGAGUGGACGAACCGCUGGUGUUCGGGUUGUGAUGCCAAUUGCAUUGCCCGGUAGCUACGUUCGGAAUCGAUAACCGCUGAAAGCAUCUAAGCGGGAAGCGAGCCUCGAGAUGAGUUCUCACUUUAACUUGAGUUAACUGAAGGGCCGUUGAAGACUACAACGUUGAUAGGCGAGAUGUGGAAGUGCUGUGAGGCAUUAAGCUAACUCGUACUAAUUACCCGUGAGGCUUAACCAU
rnacentral:rRNA from 1 species